GCCACGAACUGGUUGUCUAAGUCGACCGAAAGACCAAUCGAACACAAGGGAACGACCUGCGAACCACCUGCGAAUGGGAGAGAUGAGACUUACGAACUGCGAAGUCUUCCUAUGAUUGCUUCAGAACCCUGGGUGUCUAAGAGAUUGGAGAAGGUACAAGAACCUCAUCCUUCAGUGUACUCAAACCUGAUUGAGAUAAUGAAGAAAGAAGCUGGUGAAGGCUAUGCUAGAAAGGGGACCAGCUGUUGCAGAGCUUUUGUUUGUCUACCAGCAUCAGAUGGGGAAAGCUCUUGCAAAUAGUGGCAAAUGAAGGUGUGGACCUCAAAAGUAAGUCUAUUGCAAAAUUUGUCAGAAAAUUUGUUAACGGUACCCAACUGCUGGAGCAUGUUUAGUGAUGUAAUUACAUGCACAUACACCACACACCUACACACUCAACACUCAGACACACAAUGUUAUCCCUCUCUAAACACAAAUUCAAUUAUUGAUUUUUGGUGUUGUCCAUGAAUCAUGACGUGUUUAAACUUUUGAAGAAAAAGUUGGACUCUGGAAUUAUUUAUCAUACAUGCCCACAGUGGUUAGUUUCCUCCGUUACCUAGUGAUCUUACUUAUUUUAGCAACUUUUAUGGCUUUGUUUGGUAAUGGCUAUGUUUAUUUUUUUGUUUAUAUUACAAUUUUUUUUUUGAAAAUUGUAAACAAAAACUAGUUUGUUGUCUAUUUUGUUUUAAAAACUUGUGAUUAGUAUAUAAAAUUUACUAAAUUCUUGUAACCAUAAAAGUCAGUUUCACUUGUUUAGAAAAAAAAGUUCUUAUUCCUUACUCCUUGUCCCACCCCCACAUCACCCACUGCUGGCCACCACAUCUAGCCACACCCACCUCCAGCUGCCAUCACCCAUGACCUGUGUCAAGAAACCACCUUCAGUCACCAUCUUUUGCCGCUGCCAAUCACCUCUGGACAGUAGCCACCACCAUUUCCUAGAAACCACAAUCGGCCACCACCUCUGCAGGCUGAUAACCUCCUUCGGGCACCAUCUCUGAUGGUCGACAACAAAAUAAACAUGUUUCAAAUUUUCUGUAAAUAAAAAACAGUAAACUACAAAAGUUACCAAACAAUGCUUAAUUCCUUGACUUCAAGUUUAUAAAAUUCAAGUUCUAGCUGAAAAAUAGGAUUUCAGUAGAAUUUUCAAUGCUGGCAUACCUUUGUCACCAUAGGUUUUACUUGUUCAACUUCUUUAGCUUGUCAUUUCUUGUCAGUUGAUUGGGUGGAGUUUAAUUGUUUGUCCUUGGGGAAAUUGUUAUUUUCUCACCGUGACAGUUGCUGGUGAACUUAAAAAUCUUUGUUCUUAUUAGUAUGAAUUUUCUUAAUAAAUUUUUUAAUGUUCAGAGGAACAAGAUCUUUGUCCUACCUUCCUGUAGCUGUGUGUUCAAGCUGGUUAUCUGUUACCCUAAUUCAGUUUGAAUGUGUAGGUGAUCUUUUUUUGUGACAUUUCUGUUGACAUGAUUUAUAUACGUACAGAACUCCUGAACUAUUUUUCCUUGUGGAAUGGUGUUUGUUGUGGUUUCUUGUAUCUUUAGGUGGUUUGUGUUGCUAUAAAACAAAUAAAUGUAUAUACAUAUAUGUUGGUUUUUAUUAUCAUCUGUGAGUCGAAAGAGAAAAAACCAAAGAAUCUGUGUAUGUUUUUUCUGACAAGGAUGAUCUUUGCAAGGGUAGAGUAAAGUAAACAGCUGAUUGAGGGAAUGCAUUAUAGUUUGCCUUGUUCGUUUUAUAUAUAUAUAUAUAUAUAUUCUAUAUUACUGCUGUUGUUACGUGCAGAAGGCAUCUAAACCAGCAGCGAUGUAUGUUCUCUCUCAAUUACUUCUUAAGCUUUUUUGUUUCCUUAAUUACUGGCAGUUUGCAACCAUCAAUAUUAGAGUGCUAUGGUUACAUACCUUGGGUGCAUUUUUCAGUGAUCUGUGGAAUACUUUCAGAUUGGUGUUGUAUUUAGGGCUGAACGGCUUGGCACUGGAACAGGUUUCAUUUGCACUUUGAGUUUGAAACUUGGUAAGCCAAUCCAAUUGCUCGUUCAUAUUUGUGCUAGUUAAACCUCCUAUUUUUCCAAAAUUCUUCAUUUUGACAAAAGUAGCAUCCUGAAACUUUCCAGGGACCCAAACAUUUGGGGCCAAUUCAGACAAUGGCCUUGGUGCCAUGCUUGUCUGCUAGGUUCCCCUCAUUGUGCUAGGAGCAUAAACUGAGGGCCUGUUUGUCUUUAAAGAUAGGUUUUAAAGAUAGGUUGGGUGAAAUUAUUAGUGAGUUGAUUAAGAAAAAUUGUGUUUGUUUGAUGAUCACCGGACUAGCAAAA